CCUACGGGCGGCAGCAGUGGGGAAUAUUGCACAAUGGGCGCAAGCCUGAUGCAGCCAUGCCGCGUGUGUGAAGAAGGCCUUCGGGUUGUAAAGCACUUUCAGCGGGGAGGAAGGCGUUAAGGUUAAUAACCUUGGCGAUUGACGUUACCCGCAGAAGAAGCACCGGCUAACUCCGUGCCAGCAGCCGCGGUAAUACGGAGGGUGCAAGCGUUAAUCGGAAUUACUGGGCGUAAAGCGCACGCAGGCGGUCUGUCAAGUCGGAUGUGAAAUCCCCGGGCUCAACCUGGGAACUGCAUUCGAAACUGGCAGGCUAGAGUCUUGUAGAGGGGGGUGGAAUUCCAGGUGUAGCGGUGAAAUGCGUAGAGAUCUGGAGGAAUACCGGUGGCGAAGGCGGCCCCCUGGACAAAGACUGACGCUCAGGUGCGAAAGCGUGGGGAGCAAACAGGAUUAGAUACCCUUGUAGUC
rnacentral:rRNA from 1 species